rnacentral:lncRNA from 1 species
ACUCAGGGAGAACAAACACAACGGGAAGACGAAGAAGUCAGGACUGAGAGGGAGCAGGAGCCUGGUGCUGAGGCUGGUAUGAGAGAAGAAGGCUGUCAAGCUGUCUGGGUGUGAGUGAACACCCUCUAGUGGAGCUGCUGACAAGCUGUCCUGCAGAGCGUCUGUCUGUUUCUAACCAUCAGCAUUUCAAGAGGUCUACGU